GAUGAACGCUGGCGGCGUGCUUAACACAUGCAAGUCGAACGGGAAACCUUUUAUUGAAGCUUCGGCAGAUUUAGAUUGUUUCUAGUGGCGGACGGGUGAGUAACGCGUGGGUAACCUGCCUUAUACAGGGGGAUAACAGUCAGAAAUGACUGCUAAUACCGCAUAAGCGCACAGGACCGCAUGGUCCGGUGUGAAAAACUCCGGUGGUAUAAGAUGGACCCGCGUUGGAUUAGCUAGUUGGUGAGGUAACGGCCCACCAAGGCGACGAUCCAUAGCCGGCCUGAGAGGGUGAACGGCCACAUUGGGACUGAGACACGGCCCAGACUCCUACGGGAGGCAGCAGUGGGGAAUAUUGCACAAUGGGGGAAACCCUGAUGCAGCGACGCCGCGUGAAGGAAGAAGUAUCUCGGUAUGUAAACUUCUAUCAGCAGGGAAGAAAAUGACGGUACCUGACUAAGAAGCCC
rnacentral:rRNA from 1 species